rnacentral:rRNA from 1 species
CCAAUAGCGUAUAUUAAAGUUGCUGCAGUUAAAAAGCUCGUAGUUGAAUUUCGGGACCGAUAUAUCGGUCGUGCCUCGGUACGUACUGGUAUCUUCGGUUUCUCCCUUCUGACGAACCUUGAUGUCAUUAAUUUGGUGUCUUGGGGAAUCAGGACUGUUACUUUGAAAAAAUUAGAGUGUUUAAAGCAGGCUCACGCUUGAAUACAUUAGCAUGGAAUAA